rnacentral:rRNA from 1 species
UACGUAGGGUGCAAGCGUUGUCCGGAAUUAUUGGGCGUAAAGAGCUCGUAGGCGGUCUGUCGCGUCGGAUGUGAAAACCCAGGGCUCAACCCUGGGCCUGCAUUCGAUACGGGCAGACUAGAGUUCGGUAGGGGAGACUGGAAUUCCACGUGUAGCGGUGAAAUGCGUAGAGAUCGUAAGGAAGACCAGUGGCGAAGGCGGGUCUCUGGACAGUUCCUGACACUGAGACACGAAGGCCAGGGGAGCAAACGGG